rnacentral:rRNA from 1 species
CCUACGGGAGGCAGCAGUGAGGAAUAUUGGUCAAUGGUCGGGAGACUGAACCAGCCAAGCCGCGUGAGGGAUGAAGGUACAGAGUAUCGUAAACCUCUUUUGUCAGGGAACAAAGGCGGGGACGCGUCCCCGGAUGAGUGUACCUGAAGAAAAAGCAUCGGCUAACUCCGUGCCAGCAGCCGCGGUAAUACGGAGGAGGCGAGUGUUAUCCGGAUUUAUUGGGUUUAAAGGGGGCGCAGGGGGUCUGUUAAGUCAGCGGUAAAAGCCCGGGGCCCAACCCCGGCCCGCCGUUGAAACUGGCAGUCUCGAGUUGGAGAGAAGUAUGCGGAAUGCGCGGUGUAGCGGUGAAAUGCAUAGAUAUCGCGCAGAACUCCGAUUGCGAAGGCAGCAUGCCGGCUCCACACUGACGCUGAGGCACGAAAGCGUGGGUAUCGAACAGGAUUAGAUACCCUAGUAGUC